GCCUAAACCUAAGCCCUCCCCCCGCUUCUAACAAACAAUAAAACAUUUUAUCAUUAAGUAACGGCGAUUAAAAAAUAAAUUAGAGCUACAUAAAUAGUACCGCAAGGGAAAUAUGAAAUAAAAUGAAAACUCAAAGCAAACUACAGCAGAGAUUAAUUCUUGUACCUUUUGCAUCAUGGUCUAGCCAGUCUAACCAAGCAAAACGCACUUAAAGUUUGACAUCCCGAAACUAAGCGAGCUACUUUAAAACAGCCCCAGAGCCAACUCAUCCCUGUUGCAAAAGAGUGAGAAGAUUUUAAAGUAGAGGUGAUACACCUACCGAGCCUAGAAAUAACUGGUUAUUUAAAAGACGGAUUUAAAUCCAACUUUAAGUUUUUUAAAUUUCACUAAAUAAUUGCUAAACUUAAAAGCCAUUCAAAUAAGGUACAGCCUAUUUGAACAAGGAUACAACCUAUAAUAUUGGGUAAUGUCUAUUAACAUGACUAAGUAGGCCUAAAAGCAGCCACCUUCUAAAAAGCGUCCAAGCUUCUUCGCUAAAUAUUUUUAAUACCACUAUUAAUCCACAACCCCCAACCACUACUGAAUGAUCCCAUAACUAUUAUGGAAGACACUAUGCUAGAACUAGUAACAAGAAGAUGAACUUCUCCAAAAUGUAAACGUAAGCCAAUAAUAAACCCCUUACCGGCAUUUACCGCUAUAAUCUACAGUAUAUUUUAACAAGAAAAUUCUACUAAAUUCAAGCGUUAACCUUACACCAGGACAUUUCUGGAAAGAUUUAAAGAAGGGGAAGGAACUCGGCAAAUAACAGCCCCGCCUGUUUACCAAAAACAUCGCCUCUUGCUUAAACAUAAGAGGUCCAGCCUGCCCAGUGACAAUAGUUAAACGGCCGCGGUACCCUAACCGUGCAAAGGUAGCACAAUCACUUGUUCUUUAAAUUAGGACUAGUAUGAACGGCCCCACGAGGGCUACCCUGUCUCCCCCCUCCAAUCAGUGAAAUUGAUCUCCUCGUGAAGAAGCGAGGAUAUCCCCAUAAGACGAGAAGACCCCAUGGAACUUUAAACUAGUACCACCCCUCUCUAAGAGACCUCAUGACUACUAGUCUUUUGGCUGGGGCGACCACGGAGAAAACUAAAACCCCCGAGAUGAAAGGAAAUAUCCUUAUCCCAGAACUACUAUUCCAAGAAUCAAAAAUGACACCAUUGACCCAAUACUUGAUCAACGAACCAAGCUACCCUGGGGAUAACAGCGCAAUCCAUUUCAAGAGACCCUAUCGACAAAUGGGCUUACGACCUCGAUGUUGGAUCAGGAAGUCCUGGUGGUGCAGCCGCUACUAAGGUUCGUUUGUUCAACGAUUAAAACCCU
rnacentral:rRNA from 1 species